GAUGAACGCUGGCGGCGUGCCUAACACAUGCAAGUCGAACGGAGAUUACAGACGGAAGUUUUCGGAUGGAAGUUUGUAAUUCUUAGUGGCGGACGGGUGAGUAACGCGUGGGCAACCUGCCCUAUACAGGGGGAUAGCAGCUGGAAACGGCUGGUAAGACCGCAUAAGUCGGCGGAACUGCAUGGUUUUGUCGGGAAAUGAGCAAUCAGGUAUAGGAUGGGCCCGCGUCCGAUUAGCCAGUUGGCAGGGUAAAAGCCUACCAAAGCAACGAUCGGUAGCCGGACUGAGAGGUCGGACGGCCACAUUGGGACUGAGACACGGCCCAAACUCCUACGGGAGGCAGCAGUGGGGGAUAUUGCACAAUGGAGGAAACUCUGAUGCAGCGACGCCGCGUGAGUGAAGAAGUAUUUCGGUAUGUAAAGCUCUAUCAGCAGGGAAGAUGAUGACGGUACCUGACUAAGAAGCUCCGGCUAACUACGUGCCAGCAGCCGCGGUAAUACGUAGGGGGCAAGCGUUAUCCGGAUUUACUGGGUGUAAAGGGAGCGCAGGCGGUUUUGCAAGUUGAGAGUGGAAGCAGGGGGCUCAACCCCUUGACUGCUCCCAAAACUGUAAAACUUGAGUAUGGGAGAGGCAGGCGGAAUUCCUAGUGUAGCGGUGAAAUGCUUAGAUAUUAGGAAGAACACCGGUGGCGAAGGCGGCCUGCUGGACCAAAACUGACGCUGAGGCUCGAAAGCGUGGGUAGCAAACAGGAUUAGAUACCCUGGUAGUCCACGCUGUAAACGAUGAAUACUAGGUGCUGGGAGGCAUAAGCCUUUCGGUGCCGUCGCAAACGCAUUAAGUAUUCCACCUGGGGAGUACGUUCGCAAGAAUGAAACUCAAAGGAAUUGACCGGGACCCGCACAAGCGGUGGAGCAUGUGGUUUAAUUCGACGCCACGCGAAGAACC
rnacentral:rRNA from 1 species